rnacentral:hammerhead_ribozyme from 1 species
AUCCAACUGACGAGUCCAAAUAGAACGAAACGACCAUCCUAGAU